UCAGGCUCCGGCUGCAAAUGGCCGCUUUGUGGGGAAGGCGAAAACCGAGAAGUGCACUCGAACUCACGGGCUGCCACACAGAAAUCACACAGCCAGUAAGCUUACACCUAUGAUUUUGUGUGGUGGGAUUAAAAAAAAAAAAAAAAAAAAAAAACUCGCUGGACCACACACACACGGCUUUUGUUGCUAGGUUACACUGGGCAGGAAUAUCACACGUGGGUGGCUGCGUGUGGGUGUGCUCUGGACCGUGUGUGUGUGUGUGUGUGUGUGUGUGUGUGUGUGAGGGGGGGUUCCAGCCUCCGUGGCCGCGCUGUGUUUUAACAGAUGCACAUUUGUGAAUGAGUCCAAGCCGCAGGUGGCGGUGCGUUACUGGAAACAGCCGGCGACCACGGCGAGCGCGUGAUGUGACUCCACCUCAGAUCUCCAAAAUCAGCUCGGCGAGUUCACUGCGUAAUAAGAUAACGGACAAAACUAUGGGAGGAAGUUCUGUGGCCGAACAUAUUGACUGAACCAGCCCAGAUCGGACCUGUCAGCAUCAGCGGGAGUGCUCCAACUGGUGACGUCUGUGGGAGGAACCGACCGAAGAGGCAGCGUUUAUAGAGAGAGAGAGAGAGAGAGAGAGAGAGAGAGAGAGAGAGAGAGAGAGAGAGAGAGAGAGAGAGAGAGAGAGAGAGAGAGAGAGAGAGAGAGAGAGCGCGCAAACGUUUAUGCUGCUUCUUUGCUGCUUCUUUGCUUCUGAUAGACUUGGAUUUGUAGUGUUUCCAAAAAAAUGUAUCCACCCUCCAGAACGGAUGCAAAUGCUUCACACAUCUCCCAAGCAUUAAAGCCCCC